rnacentral:rRNA from 1 species
AUUGAACGCUGGCGGCAGGCCUAACACAUGCAAGUCGAGCGGUAGCACAGAGAGCUUGCUCUCGGGUGACGAGCGGCGGACGGGUGAGUAAUGUCUGGGAAACUGCCUGAUGGAGGGGGAUAACUACUGGAAACGGUAGCUAAUACCGCAUAACGUCACAAGACCAAAGAGGGGGACCUUCGGGCCUCUUGCCAUCAGAUGUACCCAGAUGGGAUUAGCUAGUAGGUGGGGUAACGGCUCACCUAGGCGACGAUCUCUAGCUGGUCUGAGAGGAUGACCAGCCACACUGGAACUGAGACACGGUCCAGACUCCUACGGGAGGCUGCAGUGGGGAAUAUUGCACAAUGGGCGCAAGUCUGAUGCAGCCAUGCCGCGUGUAUGAAGAAGGCCUUCGGGUUGUAAAGUACUUUCAGCGGGGAGGAAGGCGAUAAGGUUAAUAACCUUGUCGAUUGACGUUACCCGCAGAAGAAGCACCGGCUAACUCCGUGCCAGCCGCCGCAGUAA